rnacentral:rRNA from 1 species
AGCGAACGCUGGCGGCAGGCCUAACACAUGCAAGUCGAACGAUCCUUCGGGAUAGUGGCGGACGGGUGAGUAACACGUGGGAACGUACCUUUAGGUUCGGAACAACACAGGGAAACUUGUGCUAAUACCGAAUGUGCCCUUCGGGGGAAAGAUUUAUCGCCUUUAGAGCGGCCCGCGUUAGAUUAGCUAGUUGGUGAGGUAAAGGCUCACCAAGGCUACGAUCUAUAGCUGGUCUGAGAGGAUGAUCAGCCACACUGGGACUGAGACACGGCCCAGACUCCUACGGGAGGCAGCAGUGGGGAAUCUUGCGCAAUGGGCGAAAGCCUGACGCAGCCAUGCCGCGUGAAUGAUGAAGGUCUUAGGAUUGUAAAGCUCUGUGGGAAGG